CCAAUAGCGCAUAUUAAAGUUGUUGCAGUUAAAAAGCUCGUAGUUGAAUUUCGGGAUCAAUAUGUCGGUCGUGCCUUCGGUACGUACUGGUAUCAUUGGUCUCUCCUUUCUGACGAACCAUGAUGUCAUUAAUUUGGUGUUAUGGGGAGUUAGGACUGUUACUUUGAAAAAAUUAGAGUGUUUAAAGCAGGCUUUAGCUUGAAUACAUUAGCAUGGAAUAAUGAAAUAGGACGUUCGAACCUAUUUUGUUGGUUUCUAGGAUCAACGUAAUGAUUAAUAGGGAUAGUUGGGGGCAUUAGUAUUCAAUUGUCAGAGGUGAAAUUCUUGGAUUUAUUGAAGACUAACUACUGCGAAAGCAUUUGCCAAGGAUGUUUUCAUUAAUCAAGAACGAAAGUUAGGGGAUCGAAGACGAUCAGAUACCGUCGUAGUCUUAACCAUAAACUAUGCCGACUAGGGAUCGGAUGAUGUUAAUUUUUUAAUGACUCAUUCGGCGCCUUACG
rnacentral:rRNA from 1 species